rnacentral:rRNA from 1 species
AAGAGUUACAUGCUGUAGACCCGAAACCGUGUGAUCUACCCAUGGCCAGGGUGAAGGUGGGGUAAAACCUACUGGAGGCCCGAACUCACUGUCGUUGAAAAGGCAGGGGAUGAGCUGUGGGUAGGGGUGAAAUGCCAAUCGAACACGGAGAUAGCUGGUUCUCCCCGAAAUAGCUUUAGGGCUAGCCUCAAUUGAUGAAUAACGGCGGUAGAGCACUGAAUAGGCUAGGGGCCUUACCAGGUUACCGAACCUUAUCAAACUCCGAAUGCCGUUAUGUUUAGAUUGGGAGUCAGACUGUGGGGGAUAAGCUUCAUAGUCGAAAGGGAAACAGCCCAGACCAUCAGCUAAGGUCCCAAAGUAUACACUAAGUGGGAAAGGAUGUGGAAUUGCACAGACAACCAGGAUGUUGGCUCAGAAGCAGCCACCAUUUAAAGAGUGCGUAAUAGCUCACUGGUCGAGUGGUUCUGCGCCGAAAAUGUAACGGGGCUCAAGUGUAUCACCGAAGCUAUGGCUUU